UGCGCGAGUCACUGGGUGGCAAACCUAGAGGCGCAAUGAAAGUAAAGGCCGGCUUGCCGGCUGAUACACGACCCUGCGGUUCGCCGUGGGGGCACUGUAGCCCCGUCUCGACUGCUUGUCAGUGGGGCGGAGGUAAAGCGUAAACGUUGGGACCCGAAAGAUGGUGAACUAUGCCUGAGCAGGACGAAGCCACACGAAACUCUGGUGGAGGUCCUAAGCGGUUCUGACGUGCUAAUCGAUCGUCACAYUUGGGUAUAGGGGCGAAAGACUAAUUGAAC
rnacentral:rRNA from 1 species